rnacentral:rRNA from 1 species
AGAGUUUGAUCCUGGCUCAGAAUCAACGCUGGCGGCGUGCCUAACACAUGCAAGUCGAACGAGAAAGUGGAGCAAUCCAUGAGUAAAGUGGCGCACGGGUGAGUAACACGUGACUAACCUACCCUUGAGUGGGGGAUAACUGGGAGAAAUCCUAGCUAAUACCGCAUAAUACCUACGGGUCAAAGGAGCAAUUCGCUUAAGGAGGGGGUCGCGGUCGAUUAGUUAGUUGGCGGGGUAAUGGCCCACCAAGACUGUGAUCGAUAUCCGGCCUGAGAGGGCGCACGGACACACUGGAACUGAAACACGGUCCAGACUCCUACGGGAGGCAGCAGUGGGGAAUUUUGCGCAAUGGGGGAAACCCUGACGCAGCAACGCCGCGUGGAGGAUGAAGUCCUUCGGGACGUAAACUCCUUUCGAUCGGGACGAUUAUGACGGUACCGGAAGAAGAAGCCCCGGCUAACUUCGUGCCAGCAGCCGCGGUAAUACGAGGGGGGCGAGCGUUGUUCGGAAUUAUUGGGCGUAAAGGGUGCGUAGGCGGUUUGGUAAGUCUUGUGUGAAAUCUACAGGCUCAACUUGUAGUCUGCACGAGAAACUGCCGGGCUUGAGUGUGGGAGAGGUGAGUGGAAUUUCCGGUGUAGCGGUGAAAUGCGUAGAUAUCGGAAGGAACACCUGUGGCGAAAGCGGCUCACUGGACCACAACUGACGCUGAUGCACGAAAGCUAGGGGAGCAAACAGGAUUAGAUACCCUAGUAGUCC